CCUACGGGGGGCUGCAGUGGGGAAUAUUGGACAAUGGGCGAAAGCCUGAUCCAGCCAUGCCGCGUGUGUGAAGAAGGCCUUCGGGUUGUAAAGCACUUUCAGUGGGGAAGAAAGCCUUGGGGCUAAUACCCUCGAGGAAGGACAUCACCCACAGAAGAAGCACCGGCUAACUCCGUGCCAGCAGCCGCGGUAAUACGGAGGGUGCGAGCGUUAAUCGGAAUUACUGGGCGUAAAGCGCGCGUAGGCGGUCUGAUAAGCCGGUUGUGAAAGCCCCGGGCUCAACCUGGGAACGGCAUCCGGAACUGUCAGGCUAGAGUGCAGGAGAGGAAGGUAGAAUUCCCGGUGUAGCGGUGAAAUGCGUAGAGAUCGGGAGGAAUACCAGUGGCGAAGGCGGCCUUCUGGACUGACACUGACGCUGAGGUGCGAAAGCGUGGGUAGCAAACAGGAUUAGAUACCCCUGUAGUC
rnacentral:rRNA from 1 species